rnacentral:rRNA from 1 species
UACAGAGGUCCCAAGCGUUGUUCGGAUUCAUUGGGCGUAAAGGGUGCGUAGGCGGCGCGGUAAGUCGGGUGUGAAAUCUCGGAGCUUAACUCCGAAACUGCAUUCGAUACUGCCGUGCUUGAGGACUGGAGAGGAGACUGGAAUUUACGGUGUAGCGGUGAAAUGCGUAGAUAUCAUAAGGAAGACCAGUGGCGAAGGCGGUUCUCUGGGACGGUACUGACGCUGAGACGCGAAAGCGUGGGGAGCGAACAGG